GGGGGCGUACCGGUUUCGACGGGGGCUGUGAAGUACGGUAAGCGGGUAGAGGCGCUCGACCUCUAUAAAACGGGCAAACUUAAAAGUAAACGACAAUCGUACUGUUGCUUACGCGGCCUAAUUAAAGGCUGCCGUCUGACCGGGGAGGACCACGGCCCCGGCUCGGGCGUCAUUUCGUGGUGAACGCCUGGGGGGAGGGCUCCCGCCCUCCAGGUGUACCGGGAGCUACCAAGCCCGCCAGCCUGCCGUUUGGCGGACGGGCAAGGGAAUGCAAAGAAGCGGCUGCACCCGAAGAAAGCUGUAUGGAUCGGUUUUCGGACAGGAGUUCAACUCUCCUCGCCUCCACCA
rnacentral:tmRNA from 1 species